rnacentral:rRNA from 1 species
GAGACAGGUGCUGCAUGGCUGUCGUCAGCUCGUGUUGUGAAAUGUUGGGUUAAGUCCCGCAACGAGCGCAACCCUUAUCCUUUGUUGCCAGCGAUUAGGUCGGGAACUCAAAGGAGACUGCCAGUGAUAAACUGGAGGAAGGUGGGGAUGACGUCAAGUCAUCAUGGCCCUUACGACCAGGGCUACACACGUGCUACAAUGGCGCAUACAAAGAGAAGCGACCUCGCGAGAGCAAGCGGACCUCAUAAAGUGCGUCGUAGUCCGGAUUGGAGUCUGCAACUCGACUCCAUGAAGUCGGAAUCGCUAGUAAUCGUGGAUCAGAAUGCCACGGUGAAUACGUUCCCGGGCCUUGUACACACCGCCCGUCACACCAUGGGAGUGGGUUGCAAAAGAAGUAGGUAGCUUAACCUUCGGGAGGGCGCUUACCACUUUGUGAUUCAUGACUGGGGUGAAGUCGUAACAAGGUAACCGUAGGGGAACCUGCGGUUGGA